CUACGGGGGGCAGCAGUAGGGAAUAUUGCACAAUGGACGAAAGUCUGAUGCAGCAACGCCGCGUGUGCGAUGAAGGCCUUCGGGUUGUAAAGCACUUUUCUGAGGGAAGAGGAAGGACGGUACCUCAGGAAUAAGUCUCGGCUAACUACGUGCCAGCAGCCGCGGUAACACGUAGGAGGCAAGCGUUAUCCGGAUUUACUGGGCGUAAAGCGCGUGCAGGCGGUUCGGUAAGUUGGAUGUGAAAGCUCCUGGCUCAACUGGGAGAUGCCGCUCAAUACUGCCGGACUCGAGGACGGUAGAGGGAGGUGGAAUUCCCGGUGUAGUGGUGAAAUGCGUAGAUAUCGGGAGGAACACCAGUGGCGAAAGCGGCCUCCUAGGCCGUUCCUGACGCUAAGACGCGAAAGCAUGGGUAGCGAACGGGAUUAGAUACCCCGGUAGUC
rnacentral:rRNA from 1 species